UACGGAGGGUGCAAACGUUGCUCGGAAUCAUUGGGCGUAAAGCGCACGUAGGCGGCCCAGCAAGUCGGGUGUGAAAGCCCUCGGCUUAACCGAGGAAGUGCAUUCGAAACUACUGAGCUUGAAUACUGGAGAGGAUCGCGGAAUUCCCGGUCGUAGAGGUGAAAUUCGUAGAUAUCGGGAGGAACACCAGUGGCGAAGGCGGCGAUCUGGACAGAUAUUGACGCUGAGGUGCGAAAGCGUGGGGAGCAAACAGG
rnacentral:rRNA from 1 species